CUGUGUAAUAAAUUUCUUGUUUGUCCACAGCUCCAUAGGGAUUGCUGGAAGAGGCGGUAUUUAUGACCUAAACUGCAGCCCAUCACCAGAGGGUGCUGUUCUUGCUGUGGAUUCACCUAGUGAGGAGGUAGACGGUGUCCAUUUAUAUACAGUCUAUGUGUCUGAAUCAGUAUGUGAUGAUUAAGUAAGUAGUCAUGUAAUAAGUAGGACAACAUGUGGUAAGUGAUUUGUUAUGGCAAAAAAGUCUUUAGGGUCAAAUAGGCUUAUUUUUUCCAUAUUUUUGCCCCCCCCCCCCCCCCCCAAAAAAAAAAAAAAAAAGCAAUAAACAUAGAUUGAUUUUGAUGUCAAUUGGAACGGGUCCAAGCGCUUUGACUCUCAGCUUCUCCUGCAAAGAUCUCCUCUCAAACAGCAGCAUUUCCAGUGACUUAACUGAUUUUUCUUUCUUUGUGUAGUUAGAUAAUCUCCCUCUCCAUGAUUCAAGCCUUAAACUAUUUGAAGAGACCGUUUGCGAAAUAACCUGUUGUCACUGAUUGUUAAUGCACAAUAUUCCCCCCUUUUUAAAGCCUGCAUUAUCUGCUCUAUUCGCUGUUGCCAGAGCUGUCCUGGUUCACCUUUUUUCAGCCCUUUCCUUCCAUGGACUGUCUUUUUAUGGCUGUGGUACAUUAGUCAGGUUGUGCUUGUGGUUUCUGCCUGUUAAAUGGGAGUUUUUCCCGUCAUCAUGUAACCAAGUAUUACCAAAUGCUGGUCCUAAGUCUCCAUAAAUAAUAACUAAUAUAGCUUAUUUUAUGAUUUGGUACCAAAAACCUCAAUUGAUUGGUUGAUCAACUUUUUUUAAACCUCUUUAAGAUUAUCAGUCAGGUCAGUAUUUCUUUUUCUGCAGACUUGUUAAUUUGAAAAGUCAUAAAGUUUACAAGCUUGUUACACCAGCCCUCCUUAUAAUUCCACAAAACAAACUGAACAGACUGAAUCAAAUUUAGCACGUAAAUAGUGAUGUCUCUGCUCACCGGCACCCUAAAAAAUCCAUUAUUAACAAUGGACCAGCAGCUAAAAACAUUUAUUUAUUUCCUACCGGCAGGUCUCAAGCUCCCUCAAACUGCCCCCCGGACAUGUCAUUAUUUACCCAAUUAUAACAAGACUGCUCUUUAUAUUGCUGUAUCCACAGCUCUCCAACAGGGCCCUGUUUAAUGAUGUAUGACACACUGACUGCUGUACCUCCCCCCUAUGGGGCUCAUGAUUGGCUGACAGACACUUGACACAAGACUAGGACGAAAGCACACCUGGUCAUAUUUAAUUUGGGAAAUUUCCUGUUUAUGUUUAAUGCCUUCAAUAAAUAAAACAGCAUGUUAUGUGACUGUGUGGGUGUGAUUAAAAGGGGAGCUUCAUGUGGGAUUUUAAUAAAGUGUUUGGUGGAAUACGAGUCUGUGUUUGAGGUUUUUGUUCUCUGUAAUUGUAGACCCUAAAGGACAAAAGGCCCAGAAAUCACACACACACACCCUUCAUUGCUCUAGGUAAGUAUGAAGAUUUUACCUUCAUCUACUCUCACAGUUAAUCAUGAAAAGCUUUACUUUGUUAAAGUUCAAUUUCAGACAAAUAUGCAGAAUAACAUUUGUGAAAGAAAGAGCCCGGUGGGAAAAACGUUUGUGCAGUUUCCUCUCUGGCCUUCCAAAUUUGUGUGGGCUGGCUUAAUUGGGGCUAAGUCUUAUCAAAACACUGUACUGUUUUUCUUGCCUAACUAGAGGUUGCUAUGGCAAUGUACCAGUAGGUAACAGAGGUCCAAAACACAAAUGGAGAACCAAAAAAAAAUCUCACAAGCUAGAAACACCGGGCUGAACUUCCACUACUGCCUAAUGAGCAUCCGAGUUCAGCCCGUUUGUCAAUAUGUGGAAAACAGAUUGUUUAAAUUUCAACUCAUCAGGUCUUCAUGACAAAUGUGGACGCUUUGAAACAUUUCAGUCUGCAUUUUUUUUAUGAUAAUAAAGUAAAGAAUAAGAACACCUGUUUUCCAAGAUGCAUAAUGAUAAGAGAUUUCUGUUUUCAUGUUGAAACUGGUGCUGUAAGCAGGCCCAAACUAUUACACACAGAGUACUGCCGCAUCUAAAUCUAAACCUUUCCAUGCUGGGACUUUUUUCAAAAGGCCACAACUUCUAACCAGCUGCCAGUACCGUUCCCUUUCAGUCGAUUCACUCGGUACAACACAUAUAGUAUGGGAUAUCACGCCCCUGCGUGACCUGACUGAAGACACCUUUAUUCACGCCUUUAAGGCAGAUGAUCUGUGGUGACGUCUGGGAGGCUCCGCCUGCACAUAUAUACGUGUAACACCACAGUCAUCCUUCAGUUCUUACGCUCUUCACCUCGCUGAGAACACCUACACCGAGUCGGGCUAACUAGCUGCUGCUAAAUUAGCCUGGUCUUGUCUCUGGCUACUGCUUGAUCGACUUUAGCUCAACUGCCCCUGUUGGUGUUAGCCUACGGCAACCCGCGGAGCGCUAAUUUCGUUCAGCUUUUGAGUCUCGUUAUGAGCUCUAAGCCCAUGAAGGUGAAGGCGAAGUCUUCUGUUCGCCCCUGUCCUCAGGGGUGCGGCUUCUCCCUUCACGAGAAGGAUCUUCACGAGGCUUGUCCCGUUUGCCUGGGGAUUGUCCACGCCAGGAGGGCGUUGACUGAGCCCGAGUCGUGUGAGUCCUGUCACCGGCUUCGGAGCUCAACCCUGGGAAGGCGGGUCAAGUUUGUGGAGAAAAUUCUUGGAAAAACCGCUGUUGCGCUGCACGACCCCCUCCUUUCCGAGUCCAGAGACCCGGCUUCGUCCGAGUCCGGUGGUGAGGACUUUCUGGUCGAAGGCUCAGUUGGAAGCUGGGCAGACCAUGUGGAGUGUGCUGACGGGUCAGCUGGGUUUGAGCCGGGCCCCUCCGAGGGCGCUGGCCAGCUGCUAUCCGGGCUAGCUUGUUACCAGGAGGACGAUGACGUGCUGGACAUCGGCCUGGACGUGCAGGGUUUUUCGGAAGAUGAGCUGGAGCCGUUGUCUUCAGGUCAGUAUGCCGCCGCUGCUGCGCCGGUUGAUCUGGACGACACAUCCUUCCUCUCACUGUACCGCCGUGCAGCUGAGAAACUGGAGGUAGAAUGGCCCUCUCCUCCACCAGCUCAAAAACCGUCGCGGUUCACAGGGUUUUUUCUCCCACCCGAACCGACGACUGUUAAGAACAGUUUGCCCAUGUUCCCGGAUUUUGUCGCGGAACUAACCUCGACAUGGAACAAGCCGCUGUCCACCCGCGCCACAGUGCCCGGUUGUGGACAGUUUCUGGAUCUAAAUGGAGCUGAAAAAGCUGGAUUGGUGAACCCUCCGCCUAUGGAGGCGUCCCUGGCAGCUUAUCUGGCCCCGGCCCAGAAUCACGGUGUCGGUGGCCCCAUCACGCUCCCAUCCAAGCACUGUAGAUUUUCAGCGUCACAGCUGGAUAAAAUUUACAGGACACAGGCAAAUACGGCUCGUGCACUGAGCUCCGUCACUAUGCUUCAGACAUAUCAAGCUAUGUGUCUGGCAGAACUCGGCUCGCGUAUGCCUCCUGACAGUCCGCUUACUCCUCUCCUCAAUGAAGCUAGGGUCGCCACAGAUUACAUCCUCCGUGUGUCCCGCUGUGCAGCGCUGUCUCUCGGUAGAGGCAUGGCUUCCACGGUGGUGGCGCAGAGGCACCUGUGGCUGACUCUCUCCGACGUUCCGGAGAGGGACAGAGCGGUUUAUCUGGACGAGCCUGUGUCGGCCAGCGGUUUGUUUGGGCAGUCCCUCGACGACAUUCAAGCUAAGUUUGAGCUGAGGAAAAAACAAACCGAAGCUUUGAGAAGCAUCAUCCCCAGGCGUGAUGCGAGGCCCAAACAACAGGGUUAUCUGCACAAACCGGCACCAGCGCCUCCCCCUAAGAGGACUGCAGCGCCCGCCAGCUUAGGGCCCCAGCCAAUGAAGCGACAUGUACCCGGUCAGAACCCACGCCCUUCGGCUUGGAACAAGGGUCCGCCACCGAGCUUCCGGAGGGACUCGGCGCCCAGGAAGAAGAAGCAGCAGUCAUCCUAGCUUCGGGAUCGACUCGAGAGGGCCAGCAGCACGGAGACACUGCCGCCCUUCUUUUUCUGCCGCCAAAGAGGCCGCGUUUAAAGUUCGUUCAGGGGUCCGGUCCCGAGAGGCGCUGCACUCCCUUAACACAGUCUCCCAAGCACAACCCCCCCUCACAUACACAUGCCCCAAUAAUGGCGCCUGUUGUUCACUGUGUGAAUGUCACAAAUGUAUGUUCUUUGAAUCAAAUAAAGGUUUCGUUUUGUUCUCAAAACAUCAUGAAUCAAUCAAGUCUGGGCGAGAAAGUGUUGCCGUUCCCAGCCGGCACGCUAGGGGGCGACAACCCCUCCCCCACAGUACUGGAGGUCAGUCGACUGACUGUUCGUCUCUCUCGGUGGCGCGCAUGCGCAGUCUCACCGUGGGUAGAGAGAACUGCCGCUUACAGUUCAGGGUCCGGCCGCCUCGCUUUCACUCUGUAAUACACACAGUUGUAGCAGAGGAAGCAGCAGCAGUGCUGAGGGAAGAAAUAAACAACUUGUUGAACAAGAGAGCGAUACGAGUUGUUCCCGCUUCGGAAACGAACAAAGGUUGGUACAGCCGCUAUUUCGUUGUUCCGAAAAAAGGAGGAGGGCUCCGUCCUAUCCUAGACUUGCGAGUGUUAAACAAAUACCUACGAACCUACAGGUUCAAGAUGCUAACACUCAGACAGCUACUGGGCGCGAUCAGACCGGGAGAUUGGUUUACAACUAUCGAUCUGACAGAUGCUUACUUUCAGGUAGCAAUUCAUCCGGACCACAGGCAGUUUCUAAGGUUUGCAUUCGAGGGCAUAGCCUACGAAUACCUGGUGCUGCCGUUCGGCUUAUCACUCGCCCCCCGAACAUUCACCAAAUGUGUCGAGGCGGCAUUAGCUCCGCUACGGGAGAAAGGUGUUCGCAUCUUAGCCUAUCUGGACGAUUGGGUGCUAAUCGCGAGCUCCAGAGAGCGAGCAGCGGCUCAGCUGUCAUUGACCCUAUCGCACAUCCAAACACUGGGCUUUUCAGUAAAUUUACAGAAAAGUUCACUGACUCCGAGUCAACAGGUAUCAUUUCUCGGGCUGGAAAUAUGCUCCGUUUCAAGCCGAGCACGUCUGUCAGAACGCAGGGUGGCUGCGUUUCACCGCUGCCUUGCACAAUUUCAGUUGGGACGCAAACUGUGUUUCCGGACGAUUUUACAGCUGACAGGCAUGAUGGCAUCUAUGAUCGCUGUAGUGCCGCUCGGACUGUUAAAAAUGAGAGCGUUUCAACGCUGGACUCAGUCUCACCGGCUGUGCGCGCAGCGUCACCUCCAGAGGAGGCUGACGAUAACUCAGUCUUGCAUGUCGGCUCUUCUCCCGUGGAGAGAACCCGGUUUUCUACAACAGGGAUCUCCGAUAGGGAGGGUGUCUUUUCGCAAGGUGGUGUCCACAGACGCAUCCCUAAGGGGUUGGGGGGCUCUGUGCGAGGGCGCAGCAGUGAGAGGUGUGUGGACGCCAGCACAAUGCAAACUCCACAUCAAUUACCUGGAGCUACUAGCUACCCUUUUAGCUCUGAAGCACUUUCGUCCCGUUCUGACAGGCCAUCAUGUUCUGAUCAGGACGGACAACACAACCGUGGUUUCUUACAUAAACAAGCAGGGAGGGACACGCUCUCUUCCCCUGUUAAAACUGUCUCACUAUCUGUUGCUAUGGUGCAGUGUUCAUUUUCUGUCCCUCAGAGCCACACAUAUUCCGGGUCACUUAAACCUUGGACCAGACCUUCUCUCCAGGGGGGUCCUCUUGUGAGAGAGUGGAGAUUGCACCCACUAGUGGUGGCUCAGAUAUGGGACCGCUUCGGCAAGGCAGAAGUAGAUCUUUUUGCCUCCAGAGCAAAUACUCAUUGCCCCCUGUUCUUUUCCAUAACAGACUGCAAUGCUCCCCUGGGGAUGGAUGCGCUAGCUCACCCAUGGCCCAACACGCUGCUAUAUGCUUUUCCCCCAGUGGAAAUGAUUCUGCCCAUUCUGGAGAGGUUGCGCCAGCAGGGGCUCUCCCUGAUCCUGGUGGCUCCUCGCUGGCCGGCGAAGUCGUGGUACGCAGAGAUAAUCAGUCUGCUGGUAGCGAGGCCCUGGCAGCUCCCUUUUUGCAGGGACCUCCUCUCCCAGGCGGGAGGAGAGGUGAUUCACCCGCGCCCAGAACUGUGGAAACUACAUGCUUACCUGUUGAAAGGUCCAACUUAAUGGCUCAGGGUCUGCCCCCAAAUGUGGUGGCAACAAUCCAGAGUGCAAGGGCAUCAUCUACUAGGGGCCUAUAUGCCUAUAAAUGGCGGGCGUUUGAGCAGUGGUGUCAGGACCGAAAUGUACUCCCAUUUCAGAGUUCUAUUGUGGAUGUUUUAACAUUCCUUCAGGACCUGCUGGAUAAGGGUCUCUCUUUCUCAACAAUUAAGGUCUAUUUGGCGGCUAUAUCUGCAUGCCAUGUUGGCUUUGAUGGUGUGACGCCAGGCGCUCACCCUCUUGCUAUGCGCUUCCUAAAGGGAGUCCGCAGGCUAAGACCUGUUCUUAAACCCAGUGUUCCCUCAUGGGAUUUAGGGUUGGUGCUUGAGGCUCUUGGUGGACCCCCAUUUGAGCCUAUUGAGUCAGCAGACAUGAAAUUUCUUUCAUACAAGACUGCACUGCUACUUGCUUUGACGUCUGCAAAGCGAGUGGGCGACCUUCAUGCUUUGUCUGUGCAUCCCUCUUGUACCCAGUUCACUCCGGAUGGAUCUAAGGCUACAUUGCGUCCGAACGCGGCGUAUUUACCUAAGAUUAUCCCCACAGCCUAUAACUCUAUGAGUUUUGAACUGCUGAGCUUCUGCCCCCCUCCAUUUGCAUCUGAGGAGCAGAGGAGGUUGCAUUCCUUGUGCCCUGUGCGUGCACUACGCACUUACAUAGACCGCACUCAGAGUGUGCGUUUAUGUGACCAGUUGUUUGUCUGUUUUGCUAAUCCAGCCAAGGGCAAGGCGCUGUCUAAGCAGCGGCUUUCCCACUGGAUUGUGGAGGCUAUCUCCUUAGCAUACGGCAGCAGGGGUCUCCCGUUGCCCCAAGGUGUGAGGGCACAUUCAACCAGGGGAAUGGCGGCCUCUUGGGCCUUGUUUAAAGGGGUUUCUGUGAGUGAUAUCUGCACUGCAGCCAGUUGGUCAUCACCGCACACUUUUGUUCGGUUUUACCGUUUGGAUGUGACAGCACCUUCGGUGGCUCACGCUGUCCUUUCUGCUGGGUCUACAAUGCACUAAAAGUUUUGGAGGUUUGACUUCGGUUCGGUGGCUGCUCUGCGGGGCGUGUAUAUAUGUCCCAUACUAUAUGUGUUGUACCGAGUGAAUCGACUGAAAGGGAACGAAAUGUUAUGAAUAUAACUUCUGUUCCCUGAAGGAGAGGAACGAGGUACAACACUGGGUUGCCCCGCUGCGCGGCAGAGCUCGGUGAAGAGCGGCUAUCGAACUGAAGGAUGACUGUGGUGUUACACGUAUAUAUGUGCAGGCGGAGCCUCCCAGACGUCACCACAGAUCAUCUGCCUUAAAGGCGUGAAUAAAGGUGUCUUCAGUCAGGUCACGCAGGGGCGUGAUAUCCCAUACUAUAUGUGUUGUACCUCGUUCCUCUCCUUCAGGGAACAGAAGUUAUAUUCAUAACAUUUCGUUUCCAGUACUCUCCAUUUCGUAGUUUCUCUUUCAGUUUCAUAAUUCAGCCUUAAGUAUCCCGUAACACUCUACUUGUUUCUAUCAGUAAACUCGCCCUGCUUUUAUUUGGGACAGGACGAGCCUUUGACCUGUUGAUUCCCAUCUCCCCUCACCAUGGUGUAGAUACAUUAAAUCCUCCCAGCUGAAAACAUUAAACGUUUUAUUUGUAAAACUGGAUGCUGUAAUGUUGUUUCUGUGUCUGAUUUGCUGUUUUCCUCAGUUUGCCUUCAGCUAAUGGAUGCGUUACGCUCUAUGGUUCACUUUGUGAUGCCCUCGCCCUUUUACAGUCGUUUUGGAACAUUUACUUGUUUGUUUUUAAUGCAGAGAAACAUAAAACUUGUGCUAAUUUACAAGUCUCCACGGUGUUGGAUGAGCCACAGAAAUCUGGAUCGAAAAGAGCUCAAAGAGAACAGGAAGUGAAGCAGAGCUGGAUGAUGACACAGAUCUGGAUUCAUUUGCUGUAAAUUAAUGUGAUUUCCUCUUUGAAAAUUAUUUCCACGUUUAUUUGUCUAAUGUUUACAGCUACACUCCUCUCCUUUCCAAAUCUUUCUCUGUUGUGUGAUGAAAGUAAAGUCAACUUUUACCUUGUUUUUUCCUCUUAAAGCGCUGAUCAAAACCUGUAGUUAUUCAAAGUACAGUUACAGUAGCUGGUGGAUGGUAAGAAGCCUGUAUAUCAAGAGAAAAAAACUCUCCCUACGCAGGUUGUUUUUUCACUCUAAAACUGCAAACAUACAUUUUUUCGAGGGAACUCAUCCAUUAAUUUGCUGCAACAUCUCGAACCUUAAGCCCCAAAACAUAAUCCAGCAACAUUGGAGCAAAACGAAGCAGAUAAUUUCUGGCUCCAACACACGUUUAAAGGAAUGCAAUUUUCUCCUGGAGAACUUUAUUGAGUCAGGAGUAAAGAAAUAUAUUGGUUUUUGACUCAGAGGCUCAGAGUUACCAAACAUCAUAUUGCUCUUUGAGCUUAGAUGUUGCAGCUCAUAUCAGAUCUGUAGGCAAACAACUUCACUGCAGAGCUUAAAAGAAGUCUGAGCAAUUAAGUUUUGCUUCUCUGUGUUUGUGCAUAGGAGAUUGGCCUGCAGGCAAAAUGCAACUUUAAGCCAUUGUUCAUGAAACUAAUAUUAAGUAUGCAACACAAUCAUGUAUAUUUAGCUGCAUCAUUACUUCAUUCACUCAUUGGAUCCAGUGCUGUCAAAAUCCAGCCCGGAGAAAGACGGGUAAGAAAUCAAUGUUCAAGUAUUAUUUAUUAUUUAUACGCUCUGAAGCUAAAGCUUUUUUAAAGUUGCAAACAAAGGGGAUUUGCCUUUGCAAAAGUUUUCAGCAGAAAAUGUUUUAACAAUGUGGAAACAUCAAGAGUAAGCGUCUAGUUCUAAGUGUCAGUGUCAGACUGCCACUCUGUAUACAGAUAUCAGUGUUUCCACAGACUUACCUAGGGAUCUCUGGUGAUUUUUAAUUUACUCCAAAGUCAGAGUCUGGAUAGAUCUGUAAUUUAGUCAAAUUUACUGACGGCUCUGAUUUGAAACACUAAAGCGCAGAACGACAUCCAGCUCAUCUCUGGGGACAGCAUCAAAAUCUAAACCGCAGAGCCUGCUGGAAAUCUAUAAAAAGAAGAAGACUUUAACAUCUCUUAAUUUUACAAAAAGAAUGUAAUAAAACAUGAGAACGAUAAAAUGCAUUUGGGAUUCAUAUCUGACAAGUAACACUGCACUCUUUUUAAAAGGUGCAUCUGCUGUUUUGCAGGCAGCAUUGCAUGAAUUAUUACCUACUCCUCACACAACAGAAAAAGAGUUAACCCUUUUAGAAAAUGGUAAAUAUUCCUCACUGCAUGCUACUGAGUCUCUCUCUGAGUCUUUUGAUGAAUUUUAGUUUUCUCUUUCUGCAAAAACAUGUUCUCAGACAAUAUAGGGAAAUGUAUCGGCUAAAUAAACAUCCAAAAAGCUUUCAAGCAGUAUUUAUAAUGCCUAAUGCAGCCUCAAUGACUGGAACGGUGGCUUUCUUAAAACUUUACCACCCCUUACCACCAUCAUGCAGUUUGGUUAUGUGAGAUCAUUGAGACAUGUGAGAUAACUUUUACCAUUUUUUACUGUUUUUGCCUCACACAGAAUUGGAAACAUCUUAUAAUCUGUUUUUGUGAACUUUAUGUUUUUCUGGCUUUACCUGCAUAUAACCUACUCGGCUUAAAAACUGACUGACCACAGGGCAGAGCUGACUGCUGAAGAUGCAGAAAAGUCGAGUGAAAUUUUCUUCCAUUUGAUAAUCAACUAAACAUCAUUAAUACAGGUAUGCAUUUAAGUUAGAGCGACAUGCAUAAAACAAACAACAUUUUGUAAAAACAAAUGGUCUCAAAUAGUUGAAUAAAGAUGUAAAAUAAGUUAUUGUGAACUUAUUAGAAAGUUAAAUGGAUAAGUUGGUACAUGGAUGGAUCUGCAAAGAAAGAAAAAUGGGGCAUGGGGCAAAAGGGGCAUUUAGUGAUCAUCUUUUGAAUAGCUAUUAGUCUUAUUGGUUGAUAUGACGUUAAAUUAGUUUAUGGAUCUCUGAAGCCAGAUUAUUUGCUGCUUUCAGGUGGAUUCGCUGGUUGCCAAAAUAUCUUCUUCUUUCUUAUAUUUAGCUUCUUUAACUCUAUUUGUUAUCAGAUUCCCGUUAAUGGUUAUUCUGCACAUACAUUAUCAUAGAAAAGCUCAAACAAAUGCAGCUCUGUUUGGUUCCACAUUAAUGCAUGCACACAUGGUGAGAUCACACCAAGACGAUAGAUGGCAGCCUUGCCCUCAGUUUACACACACACACAUACAUACACACACAUACACACAUACACACACACACACACCCAAACCUCGUGCCUCAUCCAACAGCAAUGCUCACUGUUUCUUUCAUUGAGGUAUGGAUAUUUAAUGCACGCCUGAAACACUCACUGAAAGUAUGCAGAUGAAACCUGGACAAAGAGAGAGAUAGAAGAGAAAAUAUGAAAGAGAAAAAGAGGGAAUUCAACCCCAAGAAAAAAAAAAUCAAGCAUUUAUGCAAAGCUGGUAAAUAAAAAUUUAAUCUAUUUUAUCGUUGAUAAUCCUGACUAAUAUAACACACUCGAUAACUGAGAGGAGCCCGGAGGCAAGAGGCAGAUUAUUAAUCACACAAGGUCAAAUCCAAUGAAGAAAAUAUGCAGAAUUAAACAUUUAUGGUAAUUAUUAAUAAUAAUAUUUGAACUGUAUUUUAUUUCCAACAAAUGGAAUCUUUAAUCCAUGCUGAUUAGACUUUUAACUACAACUGAGCUUAUUUUUCCAUUGUGUUUCAGAUGCUUCAUACAGCAGCUACAGUAUGUUGUAAGACUAUGGCCGUCCUCACACGAGGACGACCAAAUCUCACGACAGGUCUGACAUCGUGUACGCAAGUUUGAGUCAGUGUGGAUCUGUGGUGCAGCAAAUGUCUGUCUCAAAAUAAUUGAUAAACAAACCUCAAACCGGUUAUUAAGCACAAUCAGCCAGAUUUCAUUAAAGAUUAAGACGUAAAUAGAAUAAAAUAAAAUAAAUUAUUUUGUUAUGUCCUUAGUGAAUAGGCCUAUUUGAUAACUCUGCCCAGAAACACUGCCACAGAGCAGGAGCGCCGUUUCAACAUUACGCACACAUGCACAUGCGCCACUGUGGAGCGCUGCGUUUUACUCCUAAAAGGCAGGUGUCUCUAUCUUAGCCCAGCAGCGGGGACGUUGUUGUACACUCCUGAAAGGGUGUGGGACAUCAUUUGGGUCAGUACAGUUUUGCACAAUGUUGCACUGGCAAAUGGAGUGCCGUUGGCUGUGCCGGUGCAACAUGAGGACCUGAUGCCCGGAGAACAAUAACGAGGAGAGACUCCACAAAGGUGCUGCACAGAGGAGACAGGACCUUAUCCAUGGAUUCUGACAUGUGAAAUAUAAGUUGAGAAAGUGCUCUUGCUAUUUAAUCAGUGAUAAAAUCCAAUAGAAAUCCAUAAAAAUGUGCCUCAGGGGCAGCAACACACCGUUUGGUGAGGUUAAUAAUUAUUUUUGUUCAGCCUCUGUCAGACUCUUCAGUCUGCUCUACAUUACAAAGACACAACAAAUUAAAACUAAAUACUUUCAAUAAUAGGAGCAACGUACCCUAUGUCAUGGCAAUAAACAAAUAUGAGACAUGUAUGAGAUAUUAAUUUAUCAUCGUGAGCAACUUAACUAAUGAAUUAUUCAAACUGCAGCCACUGUCUGCUAUUCCGCUGCAGCGCUGUUCAGCGCCACCAUAAUCCUGCUCCAGACAGGAGUUUUCUGGACUGCUUUUAUACCAGUUUUGAUGCUUGCAAAGAGCAAAUCCUUGUUAGUUUCCACCACAGAUGUGAGGAUAUCCACUUUCAGCUCGGAAAAGUUUCAAAUCUUUCUAAUAUUUCUCCUCUUUCAUGUUUGACCGCAGUGGGCGAGGCUUCUGAACCACGAAUAUUUAAGGGUGUAACAUAUUUAUGAUGAUCGAUUUCAGCCGCUGCAUUUAUCAAGACCCAAUCAUACGUACGCUGGGAUUGGUCAGAUAUGAACCCUUUCAUAAGUCUCACGUGUCCUAUCGUAGGAUGAAUCCUGCGCUCAGAUCUGCGCAAGAUUGAUAAAUGAGGGCCUGUGUGUGACAACGUGGGUUGGGGGACAGGGAGGAGGAGGGGUGCUAUGAGGUCACUGUCUUUUCCGGACUUAUCUAUUUAUACCAACUACGGCAUGAAGACAAAAUACACGGAUAUCCACUUGCGGACCCGUUUCAAAAAAGAUGCAGAGUCAUGAACGAAUACGCGUCUCUGUGUGUCAAUAUCACCAGAUCGAUAGUUUAUUUUACCAGUGUCUUACAAAUUUGUACUUGUGUAAAGACCACCUAUCAAUGGAUUCCCCAAAAGGCUAUGCUAGGUUUGGAGGCAAAAGGAGGCAAGGAGGUGAAGAAAGGAGAGGGGAAGGAGAACAGAAGAGGGGUUUUGAGGCAGAGAGGGUAAGCAGCAUGAGAAAAUGUAAGAUAGAGCAAUGACAGAUUUGUAAUUUAGAAUUUGGGGAAGGAAAUAUAGAAGAAUAAGGGAAAAAAGAGGAGACUUUAGUGGAGAAGUGGUGGGAGGAUGUAGAAGUGAAGAUGUAGCAGUGAUAUUAAGAGGAAAGAAAUAUAAUAAAAUUGAAAAACCUGAUGCAGUGAAAGGGACAAACAAGGCAGGGUGAAGGUUAGCAGAGGGACCAGAUAAAAGCAAACCACACAAAAUAGGCGACAAAAGCUGAGAAGGAAGCAGAAUUAAAACAUGGGAAAUGGUGAAGGAGAUGCAAAUUAAACAAAAAGUUUAGACCUUAACCAUCAAACUGCCAAAGUGCCUAGGAUAAGAUUUACAGGUGAGAAUAGGGGGAAAUAAAACCAUGGGUAUGCUGUAGGCGUGACCAGGACCAGCCAUUAAGGGUCACCGAGAUCAGGAAUGUCCUAUAGCAUGACAGCAACAGUUGAAACCUAUUAGUGUAUAAAGCAGAAGGGGGCUUUUACUUUGAAAGGACUCAUUAAAAAUGUGAUGGAGUCAUGGCCUACCUACAUUGUCUCCAACUGGUUUAGGCUUACAGUGACCAGAGGCAGUCAGGGUGCCAAAGAUGCCGCCUAAUUUAGCUGCUUCAAAACCUUUUUUAAUAACACCAACACUUUACAAGGUUUAGUUUCUUAAUAGUGCAUCAUGGUUUGCUUUGAAUGUAGGGUUUAAGAUGAGAGAGAGAGUUUGAUAAAGAGUGGAGUCCACACCUUUUCUUCUGCCUGUAAUGUAUUUUGCAGAAACGUUACAGCUUUGUUAACAAUUUAAACAUUAACAGUCAUAACCAAGCUCCACUUUGAAACAUUCAGAAAUGAAGACUGGUGUGUUGUGAAGAACGGUUAGAACGAAUAAACAUUAGGCUGAUCAAUUACUUGAAGAGUCACAAGCUCUAACUUUGAUUAAGGAUUCAAAAUCAGUCUUCAAACAUCAGUUUGUAAAAGUGCCAAGUCAUCUCACAGAGGGCUGCUACACCUAGCUCACUAGCAGCUUCUUCUCCUUCCUCUUUUCACAGUUCAGUGGCAUGUGUUAACAAGCAUAUAUGACUACUACAAUAAAAUUACAGUCAUAAAGUUGUAGGUACCAGAUGUGUUUGGGCUGCCAGAUCAGCUUGGGGCUAAGCGCCUGUUAAAGACGUCACACUGUGGCAAGUCCACUCAGACAAACUACACUGCGCUCCAUUUAAUAAGUCAAAUGUGCUCGGUUUAAAGCCCCUUGUGGUUUUCUUUAUUUCUGUUUGUUCAUUCAAUUGACCUCGAAAUUUUCUCUCCAUAUAAUACAGAGAAUUACAACUUACUGUACUGUAAUUUUUAGAUGGCUUUGAUUGUAUAUGUUCACUUUCUAAAGGAAAAAGAAAAAAAAUGUACAUAGGAUCUCCAUUUAUCAAUAGAUAGUUUUGCUAUUAUUCCACAUUUCCUUUGGCAACCUAAAAGAGGUGGUAACCUGGCUGUCGUAAAAAUUGUCCAUAUUUUCUCCCAAGAACUACAAUCCCAUGAAACCUAAUCUGGCAAAAACCACUUUCGUAAUGUCCAGACCAACCACAAUCUUCCAUGUCACCCAAACCAACUUCCAGCCAAUCAUAUUGUGUGAUGUCAGGACCCCGAGCUAAUCUGGCAGCCCAAACACAUCUGGUACCUAAUCCCUAUUUUCUAGCACAGAAUCAAUAUAAUGUUUUGAAAUAGAGACCUAUCAAUACCAGCAUAUGUGCAAAUGAUUUUUGACCCAAGAGUAUACAGCUGUGAGGAAAAAAUGAGCCUUAAAGGGGGUUCACGAAAGAGAUAGUAAACUGGCGACACAGGUGGAGAAAAGAGAAUCAAUAUCCAAAAAUAAGGUGAAGACAAAAAGACGAAGAGAUGAAAGAUAUGUAGGAGUAAAAUCAUGAAUAAAAAAUAUUGGAGCAUUGGGAGGAAAGGCAGGAGAAGAAAGGAAGAAGUGUAAAUAAAAACAGAAGUUACAGAGAGAGGGGAGCAAAAGGAGGUGCAGAGGAGAGCAGAGCAGAUGCCAGCCAAAGCAGAGCUCCACUAAUCUGUGUCUGUCAUGCUCCGCAUAUGAAACACCAAGUGAUGACCGCUGUGAUUCACGACUGCUGGCUACAAACCAGCCACUGGCCUGUGUGUGUGUGUGUGUGUGUGUGUGUGUGUGUGUGUGUGUGUGUGUGUGUGUGUGUGUGUGUGUGUGUGUGUGUGUUGCUUCCUUUCAGUGCGCAGGGCUCCUUUCAACAGCAGAUUUGCUCUGACAUGAUUCAUGACGACCUGCCUCCAGGGGGGGCACAAGGGACACACACGCUCUCACAAACACUUAAAAUGCUUCAAGUCCACAGAAUGAGAUUAGAAUUUUACAUAAAAUUGAAAUCCUGCAGGCAUUUGCCACCGCUUGGGGAAACGCAAUGUGUCCACACACACUCACUCGUAUGAAGCAAAAGUGAAGAGAAAAUGAGUUCACAGCCUCACAGUCGCUCUCCUCAUGUGGAUUGAACGCUGUUACAGGUGUGUUCAGGGGCACCUGUGUGUUAUUUUGUGCAUGUGAGUGUGGCUGUGGCCAGUAUUACACACACACACACACACACACACACACACACACACACACACACACACACACACACACACACACACACACACACACACACACAAACAGGGAUGGAAAAUGUUUUUAUUGAAGAGGAAACAGUGCUGUCAUCUCCCAUCUACAUCUACAGCAGUCGACCCUGAGCCACCCAGCCAAGUAGCCACUAAUGGAGGCUUGAUUGACAGGUAGGGACACGCACACUAUCCCCGUCACUCUCUUUUUGAAAGCAGCAUGUGUGUUUCAGUGUGUGUGUGUGUGUGCAUAUGUGUGUGUGCAACCUUUUGUCUAAUGGAGUCAGUGUUAGCAGGUAAAGACGAGAAAAGAUGAGAACAUGAGAGGAGGGACGAGGGGAGAUGUAUGGGGGGAUGUGCGUGUUUCACCCAGCCAUCUGACGCACUUUGAUGUGAAUGUUCAGGUUUUAAAGAGGUCCAA